rnacentral:rRNA from 1 species
CCUACGGGGGGCAGCAGUGAGGAAUAUUGGUCAAUGGGCGCGAGCCUGAACCAGCCAAGUAGCGUGAAGGAUGACUGCCCUACGGGUUGUAAACUUCUUUUAUAAGGGAAUAAAGUGAGGCACGUGUACCUUUUUGUAUGUACUUUAUGAAUAAGGAUCGGCUAACUCCGUGCCAGCAGCCGCGGUAAUACGGAGGAUCCGAGCGUUAUCCGGAUUUAUUGGGUUUAAAGGGAGCGUAGGUGGGUUGUUAAGUCAGUUGUGAAAGUUUGCGGCUCAACCGUAAAAUUGCAGUUGAUACUGGAAGUCUUGAGUACAGUUGAGGUAGGCGGAAUUCGUGGUGUAGCGGUGAAAUGCUUAGAUAUCACGAAGAACUCCGAUUGCGAAGGCAGCUUGCUGGACUGCAACUGACGUUGAUGCUCGAAAGUGUGGGUAUCAAACAGGAUUAGAUACCCUAGUAGUC